UCUUCUCCUGGAUGGACCCCUUUGGCUGGCUGUUGCAGUUUUGUCUUCAGUCCUGACCCCGGCCCUAUCUCCUGCUGCUCCUGAGGGCUUCCUCCCUGCCACCAUCAACGGACCCCCGGCUCAACUGCCUCAUCGUGAACUGCUGAGGAUGACUGCUACCAGCACCUUGCCUCCUGGUGCUGUGAGGCUGUGCCCUGGUCAGCAGGGCUCUGGCUGCCCUGCGGUCACCCUCAGCACCUGGCUUGGCCUUCCUCAUUGCAGCAGCCCUGCUCUUGUUGCUCUCCAAGUAGUAUCGUUCCAGCCUGAAUAGCUGAAACUGUUCGAGAGCUGUGUAAAGUGGUAAUGUAAAUUGGAAAGACUUAACUAAUCUUGCCUGCAGAUAUCAAUGUGACUGCACCGGCAGUAAGAUGAAUGAUGCACAUUUAAAGAUGCUGAGAUACAACGGUGUUGCCAAAGAGUGCACAUACUUUUACAUUAAGAACAUAAAGCAUUAGUACCAGGAAGGUAUUUAUUUCCUCCCCCUCUUCAAAUGUGACACUGGAAGAGCCAGAUGGGACAGCUGAUACAAGUGGAGACUUCUGACAGCGGCAGCACAGCCUGUCCCAACAGAACAGGAUAUUCUCUGGAGUUGGCCAAGAUCCAGCAGCACUACUGUGCCAGACAUUCAGUGCCUGCUCCAGAACUUCCAGUGCCACCAACGGAUGAGAGGCUGGGAGUGCCAGUAUCUGCUGGGAGCACUCCUCAGAGACAGUUGUGACCAUAGCCUUCAGGGGCUCUAGGGCACGAAUUGUCUUCUUCUGAUGAGCUAAAGAAAGCAGAGGUGGGGGUCUCACAAUGAGCAACCAAGCCUGAAUUUCACUCAGCUGGGCUGUUGGAUAUUCAGUGCCAAAACAGUGCUGGUGGGAAGCGGGACUGAACAUGGAGCUUUUACUGCUUGGCCUGGUGAGUUGCCUAAGGACUGGGAGGAAUAUCUGCUGGGAUUAUAGCCUUUUGUUUAUCCAGCUGUGCAUAUGGACUUCAUAAGAUUUCAGUUCAUGCUAUUUAUCCUGGUUUGGAAAACAAAGGAUGAACAGUAUUUUAUUUUAUUUUCUUGAACACUGAUGGCUUCAUCAUGUUUCACUAGGUGGGAAGAUGUCAUCCUUUAAGCACAGCCAGCUUAUGGGGCUAAAGACAGCUGGUAAUUAACAAUAUAUCCUUUUUUGUGAAGGCAAAUUUUUCAUGAACUUUGAUCUGCUUUCUUGUCUCCAAAUGCAUGGUCUCAUGCAACCCUUUGUAUACAAAUUUGUUGUCUACCCACUCUCCUCUCUUUUCAGGUAUGCCUUGACCCUCUCUUCUUUUGCCUUUCUCUUCAGUACAUUUCAUACAGAACUCGUGCUCUUCUUGGCUUUCUCUCCUGUAAUGUGUGCUUUUCACUCCCAGUUAUUUCCAAUUUGACUUGAAAAUUUUUCUAAAAGAUAUUUACCUGGGGAACCCAGUGACACUACUUGACCCGGGUCCCACAUCCUAGUUACAGUUACAUGGUAGAACUUGGUCUGUUGUCACCUCCUUGGUGUGGAGGCUUGUUUUUAUGACUAGAUGGAAUUCCACCAGGAGAAUAAAAUGACCAAAGACAGGAUAUGGUGUGAUUCAAAUGAGGCUGUGAGCAAGCCUCAUUUUGUUUGUGAAUAACUGCAUUAUUCAGCAACCAAAACUCCCUUGCUGGAACAGAGGGAUAGAAAUGCUGGUGGAUGCUGAAUAAUCUGAUUUGAAGGUAUUUUUCCUCCUCAGUAAAAUCUGGUAUUAGUAUUUAGGUACAAAUACUAUGCAACAAAUCUUGCAUUUUAAAAGUUAAAAGGCAUACAUAAAUUAAGAACAGGAACUACUUUUCUUAUUAUACUUGGGUGUGAAUUUCCUUCCCACGCUAUAAUUGUACCAAAGGUUUUGCAAAACUCUUUCACUACAGUACUUGUAUCAGGGCAAGAGACGGCAAAAAUGAGAGCAUUUAGCACAGGGAUUCUGACACUAGACUGUUUGGUAGCUCAGUGUGAUCAUGUUAAAACCUCAGCAAACUUGUUUCAAGGUGUAGUUUGAGUGUUUCUCAACUGACUCCUGACCACAAGCAAACCCCUUUUAAAUUAAGCGCAACAGUAUUUUUAAUUGUAGUUGGCUAAUAUAUCAGAAGUUAGAGCACAACUCGUUGGCUGCCAAAGUGAUUAUUUUCUAGUGUGGACACCAGCCAGUGACAUCUGAGAACAUUAUCUCUCUGAUGACCACUCAUAACUCUCCCCAUGCCAAGAAUUGACAGACAUUCUCCCACUUGGAAAGAAUUCAAGCUGGGGUGCAGCUCAUUGCACAUCCAGAAUUGCUGGAUGGACCCAGAAGUCUUAGGAGUCCAUGUGGAGGCCCUGUGGGCAUAGCAACCUGAGUAUUAUUUUAAUCAAGAAACGGAUUCACCUGUGGACAACAUCACUCCGAAGUGAAGACCUACCCUGUCACUGAGCUUUGUCUUAGAGGAGCUCCUAGCAACAUAACCUUUGUCUUGGAUCAAGCUCACAGUUGUAGGGAUUUGAUGGCUCUCUCCUCCACGAUGGUAUUUUCCAUAUUCUGCUUAGUACUUUCACAUUCAUGUGAAUUUACUCCAGAAACAAUGCCACGCAGCCUCAGUGCUGGCUCAGCACAGCCUUAUCACCCGAAGGAGCUAUAGUUGUAUGCCCAGCUCUGGCAGAAGAUGAAUAGUUGCAAGCAGCCAGUACAGGCUGCACAUCCCUGUACCCAUCAGAGGCAGCCACCUUCUUUUUAUUUUUAAUUUUUUUAAAACCAGAUUAUUCUGAUUGAACUGGGAACAUGUUGUAAUGCUACCAGAUUUAAGGGGAGAACCCGCCCUGGCAGUGGGUGCAGCGGUGAGCACCUUAAAAGUCAUAUAGGCUAAGCUCAGUACACAAUACAUGACUAGGGCAGAAAAAAACAGAGUAAGACAAAGCUGCUAAAUCAGACUACAAAGAUAAUAGCCAGUUGUCUGAGAAAUACGAUGUUCUGCUUUAGAGGAGGUUUAGUUUAGUUUCAGUUUCAAAGGAAUCUGAAAUGCUACAGAUAGAGUGUGCGUUUUAGGUGGAGUGAUGAGACAUCUCUCUAAGCAAACUGUCCCAUUUAUCAGCUCCAACGCUUCACCUUAAGACUCCAAGCACUGUAGUGAGGGAUUAUAAACAGAAUAUAAAAUUCUAAUGUUAGGAGCCCUCAGAAUGGCCACUUCUCACAGAUUUUAAAGAAUUUUUGUUAAGCACAGUCAGACAUAAUUGAAGAAUAAAGAUAAAUACAGAAGAGCGCAGUUCUACAAAUCAGUAAAUUUCCUUCCUUUGCUCUUGUACUGUUUCUGCUCUCAGACAUUUGAUUUUUUUCUCUUCCCUAGCACUGACACUUUCCUGAGCAAUUCAGCUCAUUAAACCAACAGGAAACUGCAGCUCUAGGUGAGAGAAGGCCAAAACUAUUUCUCUUGUUUAGAGCAAAGAACUUGUUUAUAGUAGAAUCCUAGUUGGUCAGCAUGUUCUAUUCAUACUAUUUUCUUCACUUGCAUAGUUUAGUCAACUGCUAGGCAGAAUUAAUAACAAGAUUUGAAAUAUGCAACUUCUCCCUGAGAAAAUUGAAGUAGACUUUGAGAUGGUUCGUUAAGCUUCCUGAGGACCCCUGAUAACGAGGGCCCAAGAUGCCAGUGUCAAAAUAAGUACCUGGGAAUUAGUUUACACUGACCUUCUUUGGAGCAUCCCAGGGCCAAAGAAUGGAUGAGCUAACUCCAGGAUCAUAUAUGAGCAAAGGAAACCCAAAGUUCAAUCAGUGGACACUGUGAGGAAGACUCUGAACGACCACCAGAGGGGGAAAAGACCCUAACCCCAAUUUUAUCACGCAUGCUCAGACUCUGUAGAUAAGUUCUAGGAAAUCUUAUGUAUAUGUAGAUUAGUUCUCAGAAAUCCACUGAAUAUGUAUAACCUCGCAGCGUAUAUUCUCUGUGAUUUUACCUGUCCAUUGGAGCACUCGUGGUGGAGGGAUCCCCAGCGCCGCUAAUAAAGAAUACCUGCUUAACAGUUA